UGGCCAGAGUAAGUGUGAAUAUUGAAAAAGAGUUUUCAUGAGAUUCAUAAAUGAAUUUGAGUCGAGCCAAUCUAGUAUAUGACUGACGAUGGAGUUUGAUGAGUUGUCCAUAACCUCUGUCUAGUCGGGACUCACGAUAGAAGGACUGUAUCACAAGGUAACUGCACCUAGGAGUUUACAAGGUGCAAAUUCAAGCCGAGGAACAAAGCUUGCAAGGAUGC
rnacentral:lncRNA from 1 species